rnacentral:rRNA from 1 species
GGAUGCGAUCAUACCAGCACUAAAGCACCGGAUCCCAUCAGAACUCUGAAGUUAAGCGUGCUUGGGCGAGAGUAGUACUAGGAUGGGUGACCUCCUCGGAAGUCCUCGUGUUGCAUUCCC